UCAGACUAAUUUGCGUAAACUCCCCGGGGUCUUUAGCCCCCGGUGGAAAUGCAGGCUGAAGGGACCUUUUGUUCAUUGCGUACUUGUUCCUGGGAGUUAAAUUCCCAGGAACUCCCGGUCGAAAUGAAGCAUAAAUCUGUUAACUGGGCAUGAGCCUUUCCUAUGUAACGGUGAUCACUAUUCGGUAAUGUUAGCUUGAUUUUAUUCCAACAUUGACUUCACAUGUCGCUGAUGGCUGAUUAACACAUUGCUUGAACAAUCAAGCUAGCUUGCUAGCUAACGAACGAAAGCUAACGUUAGUUGCACGAUGGCUAACUUAACUUAAUAAUGUAGCAUCAUUAGUGCAUAGAAACUCAGAUACGUUAGCUAGGAGGCUAAUGUUAACGUUGAGUAGUAGUCAGAACCGUAAGUAUGAACUGUUUUGUUAUAUAUUCCUGCAAUAUUGAACUUCAAGUAAUGCAUAUUUUAAGGUCAACUGCCAUUCUCCCAAGCUGUUUGCAAAACGAUUUCCUAAGUGACAUGAUGUAUGUUUUUACAUAAUUAUUGGAUGAUGUAGCUAAAUGUUAACACAGAGGGGGCACGGUUAGGGACUUACCAAGUCUACGUCACUACUCUGUCAAGGUUUUGUAGGCGUUUUAGAUACUAACACCAGGAACAAAACACUGAUGAUUGUGUGCCUUUAAAUAAUGAUUAAUUCCAAAAAUAAUUGCGUCAAAAGUUAUGUUGCAUUGGCCGGGAAUCGAACCCAGGCCUCGCGCGCCUGAGCCAUGAAUUGUUUAGCUAAACCGGCCUAAAUCAAAACCCAUUCAUUUUCAAUGGUACUCCUAAACCACUACGGAUGCAAUAUGUUUUUGACCACCGUUUGGGGCGCAAUGGAGCAGUGGCGCUGGUUCGCGUUUUUUCACAUUUUAAACUCAUUUACAUUUUUAAACCAACCGAACUGAAGAUUUGCUUUGACCAUUUCCAAAUGACAUUACCAAAUGGUGCCUAAGAUACAAGCAUAAUAUAAUUUUUCAUUAUUUUAACAGUCAUGGAUGAUGAUGAGGAGUUGGAGGCAGCAAUGUUGAACUUGUCGCCCUCCAAACUUGACUCAGCCAUUAAAGUAAAUUUAUGUUUAACUGUCAAAUAUGGUUCUCAUUAAAAAUUAUGAUUUACAUAUGUUCUGAGCAUAGUCUAUUUCUUCAGGUUCAGCACCAGCUGCAGUCACCAGAGCUCCAUCUAAGUCUCUAGGCAGGGGUUCUCACCCCUGGGUUAUGGAGAGGCUAUUCUCUCAUAACAAAUAUUUUAUUGGUUCAUUGGUUGGUUUAUUGGUGUUCUUUGUUUUCCUUUCAUGUUCCACUAAGAGAGAACCUUGCAGUGUCAAACAUCUUUUAAUGGAAUGUGCUGAUCUGUUCCACAUCAACUGGGUCCAGCGACAGUCUUAUAUAUGCCUCUUCCUUGCAUGCUUCUCCUACACCAAGUACAGCCUCCAAGAAUCAGCCCACAGCCACUGUGUCAAGAACAGAAGGACCACACUCUGCUGAGACAACAUUACCUGCUCCUUCAUCUCCUUUAUGUGGCAAAUGGAACUGAUCAUGUUAAUAUGAAUGUUGGCACAUUUAACGUUGCACUGUAUGAGCUCUCAUGACAAUAUGUCCUCUUUUACAUCCACCAGCCCCUGCCACACACACAAGAGACAUGACUGGAUGAAGCUAUGACCAGGAGCUCCUUCACUGGAACUAUUCACAACAGCAGAGGAUGUGGUUGAAGACAGAAUUGGGGGAUUUGGGCCUAUGGCCAGGGUCACAACCUGUGAGACACCUCAUGAACAUGGUCACUCUAUGGCGUCACCUUCCUCAGCCUGAGCUCAUUGACCAUUUAUCAGACCUGCCCUCUGCCAAUCCAUCCUUUUUUAUUUGGAAGCUGGAAACUUUCUUAAUGGAGAGGGUGAGAAACAAUUAUGUGCUGCCCUGUCUCCACAGCUGCAGUCAAUCCCAGGUGUCUCUGCUGGUGUGGGAAGGCCACAAGCUGUUGUGGGAAUUAGUGGACAAUAUUAUGUGUUUGCCUCCAGGCUUUGCUGCAAAGCAUGCAGGACGUAUUGGUUUGCAGAUAACGCCCAGUGGCUGUGCACGCUGCCAUCCAGAUUCAGAAACAGCCUGCCUACACUUCAAAUAUGAGCAGGCACACCUCCCCUACCUCCACAGUGCGGAAAAUGUCAGAGAUGGCGAGGCUGGAGUUCAUGGACAUCGGACCGUCACCGGCUUUAUUACGGGGCAGCAAGAGGGAGAUAUUAAUCUCCUCCUCCAGGGCACCUUUGACCAGGUCCUCAGAUCGGACCACACCCGGAAGGUCGCCAGGAAGGUGACCUUAACAUCAGACACCAUGUCAUCAUAUGCCGUGAUGAACGAGAACUGGAUGAUCCUCUCCUGGGUGAUGGUCCAGUCCGAGAGCAAGGCAUCACUGGAGCCUUUAUAUGAAGGACUGGCACACCACUGCUGGAGUACAAAAAGCCAGCUAGUAGUGGAUGGACAGGUAUAAAAUUACAUAUCUUUCAGCCUCAACAUUUUUUUUCAAUAUACAAAAUGUGUGUAUUUCUUUUCUAUCAGGGACUGUCGUGCAGCAUUCCGGAUACAGGAUCCCAAGCCAGAUGAACACUCUACUGGGACUCUUGGAAGAUCACUGAGGGUAUAGCUACAAAUGGCAAUUGUGCAAACAAAUGUGCAUCAAGGCGCACUUUCAACAAGCACGUUGUUGUGAAGUUGAACUUGUUCCACUGCAUGUAGCAGUUCUGCAGGGAGUACCUUUCGGAACACCAUGCACUUUACAGCUCCUUCUGCUAGUUCCUGUCGCAUGCAUUUACUGUGGUGGAGCAGCAGGAUCUGCAGACGCUGAAGGAGGCAUAUGUCUUCAGUGGAAUUCUGCCAGCAGAGCCUACAACAGCACAUCUGUGAGGGAUGAAAAUCCUACCCCCAGUGGAAUUGGUAGAAAGGGUUGAGAUUGUCCUUUGUCAUUUCCACCUUGCCAAAGACCCCAACAUCCUCCCUCUCUUUAAGGCAUCCAUGCUGAAGACCAGGAGAAUCCAGCAGGUGCACAUACUCACCAGUACUGGUACAGGGGCACACUCCAGCUGAACGUCCAGGGAGUGGGGGCUACACAGUGUUCAAUCCGCUGCUUUUGGCAGACCUGAACGCUGUGUCUGUGAGGGUUACCGGGCAAGCAAGGAAUUCAACACUGCAAGUCUCAAAGACUGAUACCGGAGAGAGAUUUGGUCUGCGGUACCAGCCCGGUUGCCGUCCUGUGCCCGUUGACUGGGAUAAACACAGGACUCUGAAACAUAAGGACAUGUCCCUGUUCAUGACCCCACUGCCCGAGGCAGAUCUAACCCGGACAGCCCCAUCUCUUCUGCCACACCUGCCUACUCUGCGGCUCCAGCCUGCACCACCACACCAGCCUGCACCCUACCACACACAGUGUGGACAGAGUACUCUGAAUAGCCUGAAAUGGAUACAGGAGACUCACUCACUGCUCAGGCCACUGCCAUAGUAGUAAUCGGUUGCCUCUGACUGAAGCUACUGUGGAGAACAUGGUUGUCAUUAUGUUGCAAACACUGCAGCCGCAACAACAGCAGCAGCAGCCACCACAAAAAAGGACCAAAACAUGCCUCACAUGUAGCCAGCCUAAAUCCCGUUAUGAAAGUUAUGGGUCCUCCAUUAUUUUUUUCGUUUUCUUUUUUCAUCAAAGUGGACAGAGCAGGUACUUUUACUGCUCCAUUAAAGUAUUCAAUACAUAGCAGGAUGAGAGUCUUGCAAACCCCAAAAUGAGUUUUGAAGAGUUUGUGUCAACACCAUUAUUCCUGAGAGAAAUUGAGGCAACAAAACUCCAAGACAAUAAAUGAAACAAGGCCCCAAUAACCCACAUAUUCAUGCAGGCCUCCCUGGUGUGCCUGGCAAGUAUAUAUACUGCCCAGCUAAGGUAUUUUACCAAGCACAAGGCAUGGCAAAGGCCCCACACCCCACCACUGAACACUAUGCAUGUCUGUGCUCAUUUGAGUGAGAUUAAUAAAUUAUGUUUGUAUUUAAA